UUGAUUGGCUGCUCAGCAGCGUUUCAAAAAGCGCCAAUGAAUCGCUGAACACCGAACCCGAACUUAUACUGAAAUUUUCGGGUUCUGGUCCGGGCUCCAAAAAUGCUAAAUUUCGGUACGAACCCCAACUUUACAGUUCGGGUUCGCUCAAC